rnacentral:ncRNA from 1 species
AAGGAAACCUACUAAGUGAUGACUUUCAAAUUCAGAGAAACCCCGGAAUUAAGAAAAAGGGCAAUUCUGAGCCAAAUCCUAUUUUCAGGUUCGGAAAACGAACACAAGGAUAGGUGCAGAGACUCGACGGAAGCUGUUCUAACAAAUGGAGUUGGCCGCGUUGGUAGAGAAAUCUUUCCAUCGAAAAUUCAGAAAGGAUGAAAGAUAUACAUACGUAUUGAAUACUAUAGAAAAUGAUUAAUGCCGAUCAAAAUGAGUCCGUUUUUUUCUAUAAAAAACGGAAGAAUUGGUGUGAUUCGAUUCCACAUUGAAGAAAGAAUCGAAUAUUCAUUGAUCACAAGAUUCACUCCAUAGUCUGUAGAUCCUCUUUUCAAGAACCGGAUUAAUCGGACGAGAAUAAAGAAUAAAGAUAGAGUCCCGUUCUACAUGUCAAUGCUGGCAACAAUGCAAUUUUGAGUAAGAGGAAAAUCCGUCGACUUAAAAAAUCGUGAGGGUUCAAGUCCCUCUAUCCCCA